rnacentral:rRNA from 1 species
GACAGAGGAUGCAAGCGUUAUCCAGAAUGAUUAAGCGUAAAGCGUCUGUAGGUGGCUUUUUAAGUCCGCCGUUAAAUCCUAGGGCUCAACCCUGGACAGGCGGUGGAAACUACCAAGCUGGAGUACGGUAGGGGUAGAGGGAAUUUCCGGUGGAGCGGUGAAAUGCGUAGAGAUCGGAAAGAACACCAACGGCGAAAGCACUCUGCUGGGCCGACACUGACACUGAGAGACGAAAGCUAGGGGAGCGAAUGGG